rnacentral:lncRNA from 1 species
GCGCUUGUGGAUUAUUUCUCUUUGAUUCUUUCGUGUGCGUAACUAAUAUCAACAAACAUUUCUGUCGCCGUUGCCGGAGAGAAAGACGGUCUACUUAGAUAACCUUGUCUUACUCUACCUUGUAUCACACUUUUAUCUUUUUCUAUUAUCUCACCUUUUCUUACAUCUUACAUUUUCUUUUAUGGAUACCUUACAUUCUAUUUCUA